UCCACGUGAGAACCACAGCAUGGAUGACAUCUUGAUUUCAACUUUGCAAGACCAUGAAAGAGAAUCCAGGUGCUUUGUGCGCAGACUUCUAGCCUGGAGAACUGUGAGGAAGAAGAAACCAGGGGACUUUGAUCAUGUCUGCUGAUGGAACAUACACAGGGAGAAAAAUUGAUUAUGUGAUU